GGUCGGAGCUCUCCCCCGUCCAGCCGCUGCUGCUGGGCGGGGGAGGGGCAGCCAUGCGGUAGGCCUGGGCCUGGACAGAGAUGGGAGUGAGGAGGCCUUGGAGGAUGGAAGGGUGGAGAGCAACAAGAGUCAUCGGGCAGCCAUUCCCCCCCCCCCCCCCCCCUUUGGAGACAGACAGAGAGAGAGAGAGAGUGCAGCCUGUGUUACCUUGAAAUUCAGUAAAUACGUGCUGGCAGCAGGCAGCCCAGCUGAGGAGAUGGGGGGGGGUGCAGCCAGGAGUCCAGCUGCCGGGAGGAGUUUUUUAACCCUUUUUUUGGACAAUGAAGGCCUUACAGAACAUUAACCCUUCCUAGACGAGUGAUAAGAGAGGAGGAGGAUGAAGGAAAUGAACGAGUGAUGGAGGUCUGGACCAGAGAGAGAGAGAGUGAGAGAUGUUGAAAGAAUGGAGAAGAUGGAGUGGCAUUUAAUGCUGGACUCUUUUGUGUAGUCAUGGACAGAGCUAUGUUUCCGUGAGAUACAGAGACUGAGUCCAGGGGGAGAAAUGUCCCAGAGCCAAAGAAGAGUCAGUGUGUGGACCCCUCGGCCCCAGGGGGUAUAUAAAAUAUGGGGGGGACGGAUGUCCCAGAGGAUGAGAAGGUGAGAUACUGUGCUUUUCUGGAACUGGACAAAGCAUCCUUAAAAAGACAACCCUGGAAGCAGCCCUGAUCCCUGUUUGGUGGUGAGAGCACCGGAACAAGGACGGAAAAGGCCACCACGACACAUGGAAGGACUCCCUCUCCUCUUGAAGAGCUGAAAGUUUGACCAAUCUAAAGGGUGGUGCCAGACGGAGUGUGAAUAAUUUUGGGAGUGUGGAUAAUUUUGGGAGAUGAAUUGUACGGGGAUCUGGAGGAGGAGGGGGAAGUGUUUCUGUGUAGUUUUCAUUCUCCUUGUGAUUUCUUUUUUUUUUUUUCCUUUGUGUAUGUGUAGUUUAGUGUUUGUUUGUAGUUUAGUAAUUGUUUGUAUGUAGCUUAGUUAAUAAACUUUUCUGUAUGUUGAAGUUGGA